rnacentral:sRNA from 1 species
CUUAUCUUUCUCAGUAGUAUAUAACUGAUAUAGUAUCUUUAUCUGGGAGAUAGUUUUCAGCCUGGUGAGAAACCCCUCGCAGUGCCUUUACCCCAAUUCCUUAUCCUUCGCAACUCAGCUUGAAUACUAUUGUUAUUAUCAACCGCUACCUUUACCUUUUCACGAAUACUUCUGGGAGCUAGCACAUUUCACGCCAAGCUGCGAAUCUUGGGAAUCACCGCUUGCGAAGCUCUUAUUCUUACAAGUUCACUCUCAAUUUACAUGUACACUGUACAUCAGAUAAUCAGUCUUUUAUUCAAGAAUAGCUCUCAUCGAUCAGUCAGUUUUCAUCAAAAGACCAACGGAAAUUUAAAUAAAAAGUCAGAAGCUUCUAUUCUAAUCAAUAAAUAUAUAUCAAUCAAUCUUUAAAUGGUUAAUCUCAAAAUAUAC